AGACUCAGAUGAAGUGGGAAGACCCCCUGAAUUUAAGCAUAUUAUUAAGGGGAGGAAAAGAAACUAACAAGGAUUCCCCUAGUAACGGCGAGUGAAGCGGGAAGAGCUCAAAUUUAAAAUCCGCUGGUCUAACAGCCUGUGGAGUUGUAAUCUAGAGAGGCUCUCUCAGUGCCAGCCUGGUUAUAAGUCCCUUGAAACGGGGCAUCAAAGAGGGUGAGAAUCCCGUAUUUGAGCCGGAGCUAAGUACGUACGAGGAGCUUUCCAAGAGUCGCGUUGCUUGGGAGUGCAGCGCUAAAUGGGUGGUAAAGUUCAUCUAAAGCUAAAUACUGGCGAGAGACCGAUAGCGAACAAGUACCGUGAGGGAAAGAUGAAAAGAACUUUGAAAAGAGAGUUAAAAAGUACUUGAAAUUGUCAACAGGGAAGGGG
rnacentral:rRNA from 1 species